AUUGAACGCUGGCGGCAUGCCUAACACAUGCAAGUCGAACGGGGUGUAGCAAUACAUCUAGUGGCGGACGGGUGAGGAAUACAUAGGAAUUUGCCCUUAAGUGGGGGAUAGUCCGGGGAAACUCGGUUUAAUACCGCAUGAUCUCGUGAGAGCAAAGCAGGGGACCGCAAGGCCUUGCGCUUUUGGAGAAGCCUAUGUCGGAUUAGCUAGUUGGUAGGGUAAUGGCCUACCAAGGCAACGAUCCGUAACUGGUCUGAGAGGAUGAUCAGUCACACCGGAACUGAGACACGGUCCGGACUCCUACGGGAGGCAGCAGUGGGGAAUAUUGGACAAUGGGCGCAAGCCUGAUCCAGCAAUGCCGCGUGUGUGAAGAAGGCCUGG
rnacentral:rRNA from 1 species